CCUACGUGAGGCAGCAGUGGGGAAUAUUGCACAAUGGGGGAAACCCUGAUGCAGCGACGCCGCGUGAGCGAUGAAGUAUUUCGGUAUGUAAAGCUCUAUCAGCAGGGAAGCAAAUGACGGUACCUGACUAAGAAGCCCCGGCUAACUACGUGCCAGCAGCCGCGGUAAUACGGAGGGGGCAAGCGUUAUCCGGAUUUACUGGGUGUAAAGGGCGUGUAGCCGGGCUCACAAGUCAGAAGUGAAAUUCCGGGGCGUAACCCCGGACCUGCAUUUGAAACCGGGCGUCUUGAGUAUAGGAGAGGCAGGCGGAAUUCCUAGUGUAGCGGUGAAAUGCGUAGAUAUUAGGAGGAACACCAGUGGCGAAGGCGGCCUACUGGACGAGAACUGACGGUGAGGCGCGAAAGCGUGGGGAGCAAACAGGAUUAGAUACCCUUGUAGUC
rnacentral:rRNA from 1 species